UCAGAUGCGAAAGCGUGGGUAGCAAACAGGAUUAGAUACCCUGGUAGCCCACGCCGUAAACGCUGUCUACUUGGAGGUUGAGGUUUUAGAUUUUGGCUUUCGGCGCUAACGCAUUAAGUAGACCGCCUGGGGAGUACGGCCGCAAGGUUAAAACUCAAAUGAAUUGACGGGGGCCCACACAAGCGGUAGAGCAUGUGGUUUAAUUCGAUGCAACGCGAAGAACCUUACCUACUCUUGACAUCCAGCGAAGCCUUUAGAGAUAGAGGUGUGCCUUCGGGAGCGCUGAGACAGGUGCUGCAUGGCUGUCGUCAGCUCGUGUUGUGAAAUGUUGGGUUAAGUCCCGCAACGAGCGCAACCCUUAUCCUUGUUUGCCAGCACAUAAUGGUGGGAACUCCAGGGAGACUGCCGGUGAUAAACCGGAGGAAGGUGGGGACGACGUCAAGUCAUCAUGGCCCUUACGAGUAGGGCUACACACGUGCUACAAUGGCAGAUACAGAGGGCAGCGAGACAGCGAUGUUUAGCGAAUCCCUUAAAGUUUGUCGUAGUCCGGAUUGGAGUCUGCAACUCGACUCCAUGAAGUCGGAAUCGCUAGUAAUCGUGGAUCAGAAUGCCACGGUGAAUACGUUCCCGGGCCUUGUACACACCGCCC
rnacentral:rRNA from 1 species